AGAAUCAACGCUGGCGGCGUGCCUAACACAUGCAAGUCGAACGCGAAAAGGGAGCAAUCCCUUAGUAGAGUGGCAAACGGGUGAGUAACACGUGGGUGACCUGCCUUCGAGUGGGGGAUAACGUCCCGAAAGGGACGCUAAUACCGCAUAACAUCCUGUCUUUGGACAGAUGGAGAUCAAAGCUGGGAUUCGCAAGAACCUGGCGCUUGAAGAGGGGCCCGCGCCUGAUUAGCUAGUUGGUGAGGUAACGGCUCACCAAGGCAACGAUCAGUA
rnacentral:rRNA from 1 species